GAGUCAUGUCGUCCACGACUAGUAAGCUUUGAAAUACGUUAAAUGGGCAGCAAGAACGUGCACCAUUCUGUUGCGUAAAAGAAAACGUUAACAAUAAUAUAAAGAAAUGCGAGGACGUGUGGAAUCUGUUUUUCCCGUCAAGUGUGUUGUUGUUCUGCUUGCGUCUCGCCUACAACAAAAAUACGUCACGUGAAGUCUUUAAUGCUAAAGAUACGCCUUUCUUUACGUUUUUGGUACUAUGUCAAGUCGCGAAUGACUAGAGGAUGCAGGAAACGCUAAUGGUUCAUAAGAGGCUAGUAAAAGAGAAUGAUCGGUGCUUUUUUCACACCGAAGGUCCAAUGAAAUCGGUAACACAACACUCGAAUUGUUCCUUGUACAGAUC